UACGUAGGGGGCGAGCGUUAUCCGGAUUCACUGGGUGUAAAGGGAGCGUAGACGGCCAUGCAAGCCAGGGGUGAAAGCCCGGGGCCCAACCCCGGGACUGCCCUUGGAUCUGCAUGGCUGGAGUGCGGGAGGGGCAGGCGGAAUUCCUGGUGUAGCGGUGAAAUGCGUAGAUAUCAGGAGGAACACCGGCGGCGAAGGCGGCCUGCUGGACCGCGACUGACGUUGAGGCUCGAAAGCGUGGGGAGCGAACAGG
rnacentral:rRNA from 1 species